rnacentral:rRNA from 1 species
CACGUAGGGUGCGAGCGUUGUCCGGAAUUAUUGGGCGUAAAGAGCUCGUAGGCGGUGUGUCGCGUCGGCCGUGAAAACCUGCAGCUUAACUGUGGGCUUGCGGUCGAUACGGGCAUCACUGGAGUUCGGCAGGGGAGACUGGAAUUCCUGGUGUAGCGGUGAAAUGCGCAGAUAUCAGGAAGAACACCCGUGGCGAAGGCGGCUCUCUGGG